rnacentral:tRNA from 1 species
GGGUCAGGCCCGGAAGACCGUAUCGGGCCUUGCAAGCCGGAGGUCGCCGGUUCGAUCCCGGCACGCUCCA